rnacentral:rRNA from 1 species
AGGCCUAACACAUGCAAGUCGAGCGCUCGUAGCAAUACGGGAGCGGCAGACGGGAGAGUAACACGUGGGAACGUACCCUUCGGUUCGGAAUAACCCAGGGAAACUUGGGCUAAUACCGGAUACGUCCGCAAGGAGAAAGAUUUAUUGCCGAGGGAUCGGCCCGCGUCCGAUUAGCUAGUUGGUGAGGUAACGGCUCACCAAGGCGACGAUCGGUAGCUGGUCUGAGAGGAUGAUCAGCCUCACUGGGACUGAGACACGGCCCAG